CUCUCUCUCUCUCUCAUGUUAGACCAUUUCAGAAGGCAGUGUGCUCGCUGAUGAAAAGGCCAUGGUCAUUCUCUUAGGAAAUCUGCUGGGUCUGGCUCUGACAGUCCUCAGCUGCUCCAUAAAUCUUCCAUCAGUUCCAUCCAGCCAAAAAGAUGUCAUCACCGUUUUCUCCUAGCAACAAGGAAUAAAAGGGCCAUCUCCAACAAGACUGUCAGAAAAAUGAGGAGCAGAGCCCAAGAUGAUUGGAACAUCCUUUGUGACCCGAGAACCCUGCUACUGUUCCCAGAGCUCUGCCCCUUGACCCUACUGAGGCUCCAACAGACUGGCACCAGAUAUCAUCACUUUGCCGCCGCCGCCGUCAUCAUUAUCAGUAACAAAUGAUAGAAUGCAUUUAAAUGGCAAAACAGUUACCUCAAUAUCACAGCAAGCAGAAAAAAGAAAUAACUUCCUGGGAGUCCUUCCAGAAUUUUCUUCAGUCAUGGACCUGGGGACAUAUAUUUAAAAUACGCCUGUUGGACCGCACUGGGAGCACCUCAUGUCUUCGGUUUUUCUCCCGCGACGUUUGCGGGACCCUGUCCCAGCACAGUUGCCUGGGAAGAGCAUGCCACAUCGGUUUUCCCGAUUUUCUUCCGCAUUCGCCGACACGUGAGUUCCACGCUGAGCACGUGGGUCCUAAGCAGCACUGCUAGAGAACCAGUUGCUGGCCCUGCGGUCUAGCUGCGGCGCUGGGGCUGCGGACUGCUGCCCUCUCGUGGCCAGUCAGGGGAACGCCUCGAGAGUCCCAGCCCUCCAGGAUCUCACCCAUUCCCUCCCGCGGCAGCUCAACAGCCUGCUCUUGGUGCCCGAAAAGGACAGAAUCUUCGUUCUUCAUCUCUCAUGCUCACCCAGGGGCCAAAUCUUGCCUCAGUGAGGCAGCUGUGAAAAUUAGUUGGAGCAAGGAUGCUUGUCAGAUAUUUCGCUUCAGUGAUGCACAAGUGAUGACUCCAUCCUCCAUCUGCAGGGCCCAGCAACUUCAACAGAGAGUAUUUGGAAACAAAGUGAGGAGUGCUUGCAGUCUUUCCAGCCUUUCCUCCUGACACUCCCUCAACCCAGCCUGGCGGCUGUCUGCAGGGCAUCGUAAUAUCUGAGAUAAGCGAGUCAUCUAGAAGCGGUGUAAAGUGCACAGGAAGUCCUGCUCACACCUAUGCCUAUGUCCGUUUUCUAGAAGGAAUGUGAGCAUCCCACGGUUUGGUAGCCUCAGUUUCCCUGGAAUCCAUCACAUGUAUACUGAGAAAUAACCAUGUGUGAAUCCAGUCAGGGUGGCCCCCAAACACAUGUACUGAGCAUUUCUGUUUCCAGGGAUCCCCACUGCCAUACUGAACAUGGAUGGGUCACACUCAGGAAAGGCCAGCGCUGUGCUGUUAGGCUGCUGCCAUGCUGGACCCGAGGCUCUUUCAAGAGAGGCCCUUGGCACUAUCCACAGUAGCCACACUAUGGAAGCAACCUGUGUAACUAACCAUCGAUGGGCAGGUGAAGAGUGUGGACUGUAGAUACAUAGUAGAAUUUAUUCAUCCAUGAAGAAGAAGAAAAUUAUAUCAUUGCAGGAAAAUGGGUAGUAAAACAGAAGAGCAAGAUGAAAUGUUUUACCACAAAUGUGGAAACGAGAGGUUGAAGAAAAAGAUGACCUGGAUAUAGAGGAGAGGAGAGACUUUUAGGGAGCGGCAGAGCCUGGACCAGGGAGCAAAUG
rnacentral:lncRNA from 1 species